rnacentral:rRNA from 1 species
AUAAGGGCGCACGGUGGAUGCCUUGGCACUAGAAGCCGAUGAAGGACGUGACUAACGACGAAAUGCUUUGGGGAGCUGUAAGUGAGCAAUGAUCCAGAGAUGUCCGAAUGGGGGAACCCGGCAGGUAAUGCCUGUCACUCAUUACUGUUAAGGUAAUGUAGAGGAAGACGCAGUGAACUGAAACAUCUAAGUAGCUGUAGGAAGAGAAAGCAAAAGCGAUUGCCUUAGUAGCGGCGAGCGAAACGGCAAGAGGGCAAACCGAAGAGUUUACUCUUCGGGGUUGUAGGACUGCAACGUGGACUUAAAGAUUAUAGAAGAACUACCUGGGAAGGUAGGCCAAAGAGAGUAAUAGCCUCGUAUUCGAAAUAGUCUUUAUACCUAGCAGUAUCCUGAGUACGGCGAGACACGAGAAAUCUCGUCGGAAUCUGGGAGGACCAUCUCCCAACCCUAAAUACUCUCUAGUGACCGAUAGUGAACCAGUACCGUGAGGGAAAGGUGAAAAGCACCCCGGGAGGGGAGUGAAAUAGAACCUGAAACCGUGUGCCUACAACAAGUUCGAGCCCGUUAAUGGGUGAGAGCGUGCCUUUUGUAGAAUGAACCGGCGAGUUACGAUAUGAUGCGAGGUUAAGUUGAAGAGACGGAGCCGUAGGGAAACCGAGUCUUAAUAGGGCGCAUUAGUAUCAUGUCGUAGACCCGAAACCAUGUGACCUACCCAUGAGCAGGUUGAAGGUGAGGUAAAACUCACUGGAGGACCGAACCAGGGCACGUUGAAAAGUGCUUGGAUGACUUGUGGGUAGCGGAGAAAUUCCAAACGAACUUGGAGAUAGCUGGUUCUCUCCGAAAUAGCUUUAGGGCUAGCGUCGAUGUUAAGUCUCUUGGAGGUAGAGCACUGUUUGGGUGAGGGGUCCAUCCCGGAUUACCAAUCUCAGAUAAACUCCGAAUGCCAAUGAGAUAUAAUCGGCAGUCAGACUGCGAGUGCUAAGAUCCGUAGUCGAAAGGGAAACAGCCCAGACCACCAGCUAAGGUCCCAAAAUAUAUGUUAAGUGGAAAAGGAUGUGGGGUUGCACAGACAACUAGGAUGUUAGCUUAGAAGCAGCUAUUCAUUCAAAGAGUGCGUAAUAGCUCACUAGUCGAGUGACCCUGCGCCGAAAAUGUACCGGGGCUAAAACAUAUUACCGAAGCUGUGGAUACCUUUAUAGGUAUGGUAGGAGAGCGUUCUAUGUGCGAAGAAGGUGUACCGUGAGGAGUGCUGGAGCGCAUAGAAGUGAGAAUGCCGGUAUGAGUAGCGAAAGACAGGUGAGAAUCCUGUCCACCGUAAGACUAAGGUUUCCAGGGGAAGGCUCGUCCGCCCUGGGUUAGUCGGGACCUAAGGAGAGACCGAAAGGUGUAUCCGAUGGACAACAGGUUGAUAUUCCUGUACUAGAGUAUAUAGUGAUGGAGGGACGCAGUAGGCUAACUAAACCAGACGAUUGGAAGUGUCUGGCCAAGCAGUGAGGUGUGAUAUGAGUCAAAUGCUUAUAUCUUUAACAUUGAGCUGUGAUGGGGAGCGAAGUUUAGUAGCGAAGUUAGUGAUGUCACACUGCCGAGAAAAGCUUCUAGCGUUAAUUAUACUCUACCCGUACCGCAAACCGACACAGGUAGUCGAGGCGAGUAGCCUCAGGUGAGCGAGAGAACUCUCGUUAAGGAACUCGGCAAAAUGGCCCCGUAACUUCGGGAGAAGGGGCGCUGACUGAUGGUCAGCCGCAGUGAAUAGGCCCAAGCAACUGUUUAUCAAAAACACAGCUCUCUGCUAAAUCGUAAGAUGAUGUAUAGGGGGUGACGCCUGCCCGGUGCUGGAAGGUUAAGAGGAGUGCUUAGCGUAAGCGAAGGCAUGAAUUGAAGCCCCAGUAAACGGCGGCCGUAACUAUAACGGUCCUAAGGUAGCGAAAUUCCUUGUCGGGUAAGUUCCGACCCGCACGAAAGGCGUAAUGAUUUGGGCACUGUCUCAACGAGAGACUCGGUGAAAUUUUAGUACCUGUGAAGAUGCAGGUUACCCGCGACAGGACGGAAAGACCCCAUGGAGCUUUACUGCAGUUUGAUAUUGAGUAUCUGUACCACAUGUACAGGAUAGGUAGGAGCCUAUGACCUCGGGACGCCAGUUUCGAGUGAGGCGUUGUUGGGAUACUACCCUUGUGUUAUGGCUACUCUAACCCAGAUAGGUUAUCCCUAUCGGAGACAGUGUCUGACGGGCAGUUUGACUGGGGCGGUCGCCUCCUAAAAGGUAACGGAGGCGCCCAAAGGUUCCCUCAGAAUGGUUGGAAAUCAUUCGCAGAGUGUAAAGGUAUAAGGGAGCUUGACUGCGAGAGCUACAACUCGAGCAGGGACGAAAGUCGGGCUUAGUGAUCCGGUGGUUCCGUAUGGAAGGGCCAUCGCUCAACGGAUAAAAGCUACCCUGGGGAUAACAGGCUUAUCUCCCCCAAGAGUUCACAUCGACGGGGAGGUUUGGCACCUCGAUGUCGGCUCGUCGCAUCCUGGGGCUGAAGCAGGUCCCAAGGGUUUGGCUGUUCGCCAAUUAAAGCGGCACGCGAGCUGGGUUCAGAACGUCGUGAGACAGUUCGGUCCCUAUCCGUCGCGGGCGUAGGAAAUUUGAGAGGAUCUGCUCCUAGUACGAGAGGACCAGAGUGGACUUACCGCUGGUGUACCAGUUGUUCUGCCAAGAGCAUCGCUGGGUAGCUAUGUAGGGAAGGGAUAAACGCUGAAAGCAUCUAAGUGUGAAGCCCACCUCAAGAUGAGAUUUCCCAUGAUUUUAUAUCAGUAAGAGCCCUGAGAGAUGAUCAGGUUGAUAGGUUAGAAGUGGAAGUGUGGUGACACAUGUAGCGGACUAAUACUAAUAGCUCGAGGACUUAUCC